rnacentral:rRNA from 1 species
GGGGAAUUUUCCGCAAUGGGCGAAAGCCUGACGGAGCAACGCCGCGUGAGGGAUGAAGGCCUCUGGGCUGUAAACCCCUUUUCUCAAGGAAGAAGAUCUGACGGUACUUGAGGAAUAAGCCACGGCUAAUUCCGUGCCAGCAGCCGCGGUCAUACGUAGGGUCCAAGCGUUAUCCGGAAUUACUGGGCGUAAAGAGUUGCGUAGGUGGCAUUGUAAGCGAGUAGUGAAAGCGUUCGGCUCAACCGGAUAAACAUUACUCGAACUGCAAAGCUAGAGGAUGAGAGAGGUUAUUGGAAUUCCCUGUGUAGGAGUGAAAUCCGUACAUAUAGGGAGGAACACCGAUGGCGUAGGCAGAUAACUGGCUCAUUCCUGACACUAAGGCACGAAAGCGUGGGGAGCG